rnacentral:lncRNA from 1 species
UUUUUUUUGUAGAAUUUUAUUCAUUGAUUUUUUUAUUAUAUUAAUGAUUGUUGAUUUUUUUAAGGAAUGAUUAAUUUUCAUUGAUUGAUUCAUUAUUAUUUAUAUCGAAUUUAUUGACUCAUUUAAAUCUUAAAAGUCUAUAAAGUAUUUCAAAAUCUCAAAAGUCUGUGUCAUAAAGUCUCACAAAUUCUUGUGUUAAGAAUCUUGAUUGAAAAAGUCAUUCAAAAAAGUCUUCUAAAAUCUCAUAAAAUCAAUACAAUCUCACAAAGUCUUUUAAAAUCUUCAAGAUUUUUUUUGCUAAAAUUGUCUUGUGAAAUCUUAAUCCAAUACACCCCC